CUGUGAUCCCUGCAUACCCCAGCCACCGAUCCCUCUAUUUCCCCUUCGGUCCACGACCCAUCUACGUUAAAUUUCCAGCUUCCCUGUUCUGGGGACGUCCAUCGCGCUGCCUUGGAUUUCACCCGCCAACUCCCCGACACAGGCGUUCCUUGCCUUCCAGAUUUGCCAGAGAAUUCCCGCAAGCACCUCUCGGCCGGACUGUUCUGUGAUGUUGCAAAAUUGGACUAUGGUCGGACCCUAUUGCAGGCAGUGCAAAGGCUUCCGCAUUUGGGAAACACACUCUCCAGUUUAUAUUACAAAGGGCCCUAUCUAACCUUUCCUGCACCAGUGCUCUUCCUUCCCUGUUGUUGACCCAACCUGUAGUGCUCCGCUCCAUUACCCUCAGAUUUUUCCUAAUGGUACAAGAUCUCAUUAAAGUCCCCAACACAUAACCAAGGGAGGUGAUUAGCUGCGCUUAUCACUUGUAAAUGGCUCCACAGCCUGAGCCUUUCCUGGAAGCUUGUGGGGGCAUACAGAAAGGGAUGUCACCUUUUAGCAGCACAAGGUCGUCUACUGACCAGAGGUUUCCCAGUUCUCUACACAGGGCAGCCACCCGAGCUGCAUUAUCAUCUUCCUUGUCCAUAGAUUCUGGAGAAAGGUGUACUAUACUAUCCUGUUCUGAGAGAGGCUCUUUCCGUCAAACACCAAAACGAUCCCCAUUCCUUUGAGGAAUACUAAGCUACUCUUCUAGAGGUAGCGGCACGAACGUGCUUUGAGUUUCCCUGUAAUGCA